AUCUAGCUGAUGAGUCUUAAAUAAAACGAAAUUCGCGUCCUAGAU
rnacentral:hammerhead_ribozyme from 1 species